AAGUCGUAACAAGGUUUCCGUAGGUGAACCUGCGGAAGGAUCAUUAACACUCCAAAACAAACUCAUUACUCUUGGCAACAAGGGUAUAUGAAACCCUAUUCACAAGCGAACCCGAAGGGAAACACGUGAGAAGGCGAGACUUUCCGGUUUCAAUCUCUCACUGUUUUUCUCCUUCAACAUUUUCUUUUGUCCCUUUUUCUUUCUUUUAAGCCCCACACAUUUUACUUUUAGACUGACUGAGACGCAAGUCUCGUUGUACUUCGAAAGAAGCGCAAUGAAAAUCGAUAAGAUUAACAAAAAAACAACUCUUAGCAACGGAUAUCUUGGUUCUC
rnacentral:misc_RNA from 1 species